CACAACAAGAAUCAAAGCUUCAAGAUUGUUAAACAGUUAUAAACAGUAUUUGACUUGUAGGGAAAUGAAAGCCUGGCCUAUUCCUCUUUAGACUCUGCAUUUAAGAGCCCUGGCCUCAACCCCACUGAACACCUUUGCGAUGAACUGGAACACCGACUGCACCCCAGACCUCCUCGACGUCCCAACAUCAGCGCCUGAUCUCACUAAUACUCUUGAGGCUGAAUCCCCACAGCCAUGCUCCAAAAUCUAGUGGAAAGCCUUGGAGGAGGAACAAAGUGAGGAAACGUAAAGACAAAGAGCAGAACUUUGGAGACCAGUGGAAUGAAUGUCAUCAAGCACUUUGAAUAUCUGCUUGUUUAUCAACCUGAUGCAGCUUCAGACGCACUUUGCUUGGACGCCUGAUGAAGGACGGUUGUCCAAGACCUCUUGUAUCUUUGGACAAACUGUGUACUACACUUAGCCUUUAUCACAUCUGCUAACGAUAAAGAAGUAGUUGCUUCCUGGAUUUCUGGAUUCUUCUUCAGAUUUAUGUAUAUAUACAUUAUGUUCUUCAAUAUCAAGCCAAUACUGAUGAGUACACCUUAUGGUCAUAAAGAACUAGUCAUUAAGGCAUCAUAAAGCUACUUAUCAGCUGUUGCCCAGAUGGAAUACUACCUGCUGACUACUAUGUCAUAGUAUGUUGUGUUUGCAUUCACAGCACAGCGUAGGUCUUAAUUAUUUCUGUGUUGUCUCUUGUAGUUCUGUGUUUUUUGUAUGUAGCACCAUGGUCCUGGAGGAACGCUGUUUCGUUUCACUGUGUACUGUACUAGCUGUAUAUAGGUUGAAAUGACAAUCGAGUCACUCGACAUGGAUUCUCAA